GUCUGACACAUGAAAGGUUGCCGAUGACAGCAGCUCAGCUCCUUAACUUUGCACACCAAGCGAAACAAGAGUGGGAAGCAUGGGAUCGAUGGAGGCCAGAGGGAGGUUGUCUUUGCCCCACUGAAACAAAUGGUGUGUGGGGCGACGGGAUAAUUGCACCCCUGCCCCUGACUAUAACCUACACGACAGAGGCAGAGCUCAGAGAGCUGGAGAAGCUGAGGAUGAGGGUGGCAUUGCUGCAACAGGAGAUCUACAUAGAGCAGGCUCUGUUGGACGCUCUGUCCCCUCAGCUUUCCUCUAUUAUCCCUGGGCCUGGAUGUCCCAACGUCAGUGUGCUAAGAGGCCUGUACUCCCUGCUGGGUGAAGGAGGGGAGCGUUUCCCUGCCAUAGUCCUGGACUCUGAGUCUGACUGACUACAGAGCACAUAAGUUUUCUUUUUCCACACAUAAGAGAAAUAAAACAUAUUCUAUUACCUCUCAGUAUAAUGCAAUCCAGGGCAACAGCAGUUGAAUCACUUCCCUCUGACACUGUCAAUAAAACUUGAACAUAACAUUCACAAAAAUAUAACUACAUGGGGUCAAUGAGGUAAUGAAUGCGAGACCAUUAUAUUGGAUUGUUUAGGCUGAGCAGUUGUAUCUAAUAAGUGGUACCUCAGCGUAUAUUCGUCCUUAAAUCAAGAAUCAAGGUGAUUAUUGUGAAGAUUAUGUUUAGCUAUAUUUUGCUGUGACUGUAUUGAUUCAGUGUCUGAUGCCAUGUAGUAAAAUCUAUGAGUGAAAGAAAAAAGACAAGAUUGUGGUUGUUUUAUCGUUUGUCUUUAUUAUUGACUGUGAAGUGCUGUAGUCGCAAUUUAAUCUAAAAAUAGAUUUAUGCUGUAUAAUUUUACUACAUAACAAUACACACCUCGAAUAAUGCGUAAUGGAAAAACUUAACCCGAAGUCAGUAAUGGAGCACUUUCAACACUGACUGUACCAGCAGGUGGCACUCAACUCACGGAAGAACUGACCAUAGAACACACCAGCAGGGGACAAAUGUGAAUUGCCUGUUUUAACUAUUACUAUUGCACCAAAAAAAAAAUUGCCAGUUUGAUUCAACGUGUGACCUAGACUUACAUGUGGAAAUAAAACUACUUUUCAUAAAAUACAAAAUAUGUAUUUUAAAUGUACUUAUCAGUGUGCUGCACGACUGUCGACCUGCUGGUCUGUGGAUUUAAGUGAUGCAAAGGAACAAUGGAGGCGUCUCAAUCCUGCCUUUCAUUGAAAUCAGCAGGGAGGCCAUGACUUCAGGCUCAUCCUCCAUGUGUUCAAAUGUCCUCCUGCUGUCUGGUAAAUCAGCGUUUGUGAAGAAAUCACAGUGAAUGAUUGUGUUCGUCAGUCAUGAGACGGACCUACAACCUUUCCAGUGUGUUUUCAGGCCACAGUGAUACCCCAAAUACUCUACCAUAAUGUUUCUCCAUAUGAUGUGUUGGAGUUCCAUGCUGGCUUUCGUAAUCUGGCAUACAUUGAAUGAUAUAUAACACGUAUAGGGCCAAUAUGAUGUCUCUGUGAUCUGAGAAGAUCUGUAGUCGUGACUUUGCCCGCAACAAAUGUUGCGUGAGGGCGAAUGUGAGAUGCAAGAAGACUUGGUGUGGCACAAAUGGCUCGUGCCCACAGAUGAUGUGUGAAUGGCAGGGGCUGUGCCAGACUGGGCGACAGGUGGUGCUGGCUUCACACAGCAGGACGUGGGUGUUUGAGCCCUGCUGCAAAAACCCUCAUGAACACACAUUACGCGGGGACAUGCAUACUCAAAGCCGGCUGAGUCACAAAGAUGCCUGGGCGACUGGCUCUAUGCAUGCUGCAAACUGGAAAUGGCUUGUUUCCCAGAGGAGAGGAAUAAAAACAUAAAAGGGAGAUGGCUAUUUCAGCUUCAGAUGGUUACCUGCUCUCUAAAACAACAGAAGCAAAAUGACGAGUGCAACUGCUCCUGGUUUAAAUCUGAAAUACGAUCACACAUGUUCACAAGAUCUCCUCUGCUCCAGCACCAGAAGGGUAUCACCACUAGUGGAUUGCAGCCAAAAUUGUCCAUAUGGGAUUGUAGAAAUGUGCAGCAUUGGCUUCUUGUCUGGCCAUACAGUCUUGGGCAGUGUGUGUGAAGUGAGUAAAGGAGGAGGCAGGGAAGCAUCCAUGAGAUCACGUCAACAUUACACACAGGUCCCUGAGGGAGUGGCACCUACGCAACUCAGCCUUCCUGUGACCUGCAUACAUCAGCUGCUGCCUGGCUCUGUCACCAGCAGAGCUCUUCUACUCCCACCAGCACGGCCCGGCCCUGCCCAG
ensembl:lncRNA